rnacentral:rRNA from 1 species
CCGAGUUGUAAUUUGUAGAGGAUGCUUUUGGCGCGGUGCCUUCCGAGUUCCCUGGAACGGGACGCCUUAGAGGGUGAGAGCCCCGUACGGUUGGACACCAAGCCUCUGUAAAGCUCCUUCGACGAGUCGAGUAGUUUGGGAAUGCUGCUCUAAAUGGGAGGUAAAUUUCUUCUAAAGCUAAAUAUUGGCCAGAGACCGAUAGCGCACAAGUAGAGUGAUCGAAAGAUGAAAAGCACUUUGAAAAGAGGGUUAAAUAGCACGUGAAAUUGUUGAAAGGGAAGCGUUUGCGACCAGACCUUUUCCUAGCGGAUCAUCCGGUGUUCUUCGCCGGUGCACUUCGCUAGGUCGAGGCCAGCAUCGGUUUCUGCAGGGGGAUAA